rnacentral:lncRNA from 1 species
GUUUUUAAGACGUUCUUUUAGGCUCAGUUCUGCACCAGAAGCUUUUCCUGACCUGAGGAAGAAGUUUUCUCUGGAGUGGAGGACUGAAGAACCACAGAAGAUCUGCAAGGCCAGUGACCAGUGAGUGCACAAGCCAGCUGGUUCUGAGCCAGGAAGAGCCCACACUACACGUUUCCCUUUCUCUUGCAGUGGAUUUAUUCCAUGCUAUGGGUCUCUGUCACACAAGGACGUUGUGAGAGUGAGCAGGCCAUUGCCCUGGUCCUCAAGUCAUGCACUGGAGUCGUAAAGAAAGAGGGAUAGAGAAGGAAUGUGUUUAGCUAUGUCAUUAAAAAUCUCGAGGGCAAGGGAAGGUGGCUCUGUUAUUGAUUUAAACAUCUAACUGAUACUUAAAUUCUAUAAAUGAGGGAAAGU